AGAUACAGGUGCUGCAUGGCUGUCGUCAGCUCGUGUCGUGAGAUGUUGGGUUAAGUCCCGCAACGAGCGCAACCCUUUUCCUUACUUGCCAGCAUUUCGGAUGGGAACUUUAAGGAUACUGCCAGUGACAAACUGGAGGAAGGCGGGGACGACGUCAAGUCAUCAUGGCCCUUACGGCCAGGGCUACACACGUGCUACAAUGGUCGGUACAAAGGGUUGCCACACAGCGAUGUGAUGCUAAUCUCAAAAAGCCGAUCGUAGUCCGGAUUGGAGUCUGCAACUCGACUC
rnacentral:rRNA from 1 species